CAGCACCUCAAGUGGUCAGGAUGAUUAUUGGGCCUAAAGCAUCCGUAGCCGGCUCUGUAAGUUUUCGGUUAAAUCUGUACGCUCAACGUACAGGCUGCCGGGAAUACUGCAGAGCUAGGGAGUGGGAGAGGUAGACGGUACUCGGUAGGAAGGGGUAAAAUCCUUUGAUCUAUUGAUGACCACCUGUGGCGAAGGCGGUCUACCAGAACACGUCCGACGGUGAGGGAUGAAAGCUGGGGGCACGAACCGGAUUAGAUACCCGAGUAGUCC
rnacentral:rRNA from 1 species